rnacentral:rRNA from 1 species
UACGUAGGGUGCGAGCGUUAUUCGGAAUUACUGGGCGUAAAGCGUGCGCAGGCGGUUCGUUGUGUCCGAUGUGAAAGCCCCGGGCUUAACCUGGGAAUGGCAUGGGAAACUGGCGAGCUGGAGUGUGGCAGAGGGGGGUGGAACUCCUGGUGUAGCAGUGAAAUGCGUAGAGAUCAGGAAGAACACCGAUGGCGAAGGCAGCCCCCUGGGCCAACACUGACGCUCAGGCACGAAAGCGUGGGGAGCAAACAGG